GAAUUAUCCAGGAGUAAAGCAGGGAUUUACCAUAUUAAAAGAUUGGAGGUGUUUUCACUUUGACAAAGCAAAGUUAACACAUAAAUUUAGUCUCUGGUAAGAUAUAGUAUCCAAAACUUCUGUUCUGCUGGACGGGUUAGUUGACGACAACCAGUAACUUUUACCUUCCUUUAUUGUUCUCUUCUUGCUUAGUACUAGUUUUGGUUGGUUUCAGAUCUGCACAAAACAAUGUAAUUAACUCUCCUCCCCAAGUG
rnacentral:misc_RNA from 1 species